rnacentral:lncRNA from 1 species
CAGACUUUCAGGUUUACUUGGCCUGAAGAAGAAGGAGGUUCAUGUUUUAUGCCUCGGGCUGGAUAAUAGUGGGAAAACAACAAUCAUUAACAAACUGAAACCCUCAAAUGCUCAAGUUCAAGAUAUAGUUCCAACCAUAGGAUUUAGCAUAGAGAAAUUCAAAUCGUCCAGUUUGUCUUUUACAGUGUUUGACAUGUCAGGUCAAGGAAGGUACAGGAAUCUCUGGGAACACUAUUAUAAAGAUGGACAAGCCAUUAUCUUUGUCGUUGACAGUAGUGAUAAAUUAAGAAUGGUUGUGGCCAAAGAAGAGCUUGAUACCCUUCUAAAUCACCCAGAUAUUAAGCACCGUCGAAUUCCAAUCUUGUUCUUUGCAAACAAAAUGGAUCUUAGAGACGCAGUGACUUCUGUGAAAGUGUCUCAGCUGCUGUGUUUAGAGAACAUUAAAGAUAAGCCGUGGCAUAUUUGGUAAACAAUUUGUAUUUCUCAUUUUGUCUCUCUGAAAAGGCUGUGAGUUUGUUUUUGUUUAGGGUUUGUUUUUGUUUUGUUUUUGGCACUUUAUAAAUGUCCAGACAUAGUAGAAUGUAAGCUAAGUAUUUGCUUCACAGAUUUGCAAGUACUCAUGAAAAUACUGCUUUUAACUCUACAAAUCCUUUGAUGCUAGAAAAACUAUAUUUAAAAAA